UACGGAGGGGGCUAGCGUUGUUCGGAAUUACUGGGCGUAAAGCGCACGUAGGCGGCUUUGUAAGUCAGAGGUGAAAGCCCGGAGCUCAACUCCGGAAUUGCCUUUGAGACUGCAUCGCUUGAAUCCAGGAGAGGUGAGUGGAAUUCCGAGUGUAGAGGUGAAAUUCGUAGAUAUUCGGAAGAACACCAGUGGCGAAGGCGGCUCACUGGACUGGUAUUGACGCUGAGGUGCGAAAGCGUGGGGAGCAAACAGG
rnacentral:rRNA from 2 species